GACGAACGCUGGCGGCGUGCUUAACACAUGCAAGUCGAACGAUGAACCCGGAGCUUGCUCUGGGGGAUUAGUGGCGAACGGGUGAGUAACACGUGAGUAACCUGCCCUGGACUCUGGGAUAAGCGUUGGAAACGACGUCUAAUACCGGAUAGGACCUUGGAUCGCAUGAUCUGGGGUGGAAAGUUUUUUCGGUCUGGGAUGGACUCGCGGCCUACCAGCUUGUUGGUGAGGUAAUGGCUCAACAAGGCGUCGACGGGUAGCCGGCCUGAGAGGGUGAUCGGCCACGCUGGGACUGAGACAGGGCCCAGACUCCUGCGGGAGGCAGCAGUGGGGAAUAUUGCACAAGGAGCGAAAGCCUGAUGCAGCAACGCCGCGUGCGGGAUGACGGCCUUCGGGUUGUAAACCGCUUUUAGUAGGGAAGAAGAGCUUCGGCUUGACGGUACCUGCAGAAAAAGGACCGGCUAACUACGUG
rnacentral:rRNA from 1 species